rnacentral:rRNA from 1 species
GAUGAACGCUGGCGGCGUGCCUAAUACAUGCAAGUCGAGCGAACGGACGAGAAGCUUGCUUCUCUGAUGUUAGCGGCGGACGGGUGAGUAACACGUGGAUAACCUACCUAUAAGACUGGGAUAACUUCGGGAAACCGGAGCUAAUACCGGAUAAUAUUUUGAACCGCAUGGUUCAAAAGUAAAAGACGGUCUUGCUGUCACUUAUAGAUGGAUCCGCGCUGCAUUAGCUAGUUGGUAAGGUAACGGCUUACCAAGGCAACGAUGCAUAGCCGACCUGAGAGGGUGAUCGGCCACACAGGAACUGAGACACGGUCCAGACUCCUACGGGAGGCAGCAGUAGGGAAUCUUCCGCAAUGGGCGAAAGCCUGACGGAGCAACGCCGCGUGAGUGAUGAAGGUCUUCGGAUCGUAAAACUCUGUUAUUAGGGAAGAACAUAUGUGUAAGUAACUGUGCACAUCUUGACGGUACCGAAGCAGAAAGCCACGGCUAACUACGG